rnacentral:rRNA from 1 species
UGGCGGACGGGUGAGUAACGCGUGGGGAACCUGCCCUGUACAGGGGGAUAACACUUAGAAAUAGGUGCUAAUACCGCAUAAGCGCACAGUAUCGCAUGAUACAGUGUGAAAAACUCCGGUGGUACAGGAUGGACCCGCGUCUGAUUAGCUGGUUGGCGGGGGUAACGGCCCACCAAGGCGACGAUCAGUAGCCGGCCUGAGAGGGUGAACGGCCACAUUGGGACUGAGACACGGCCCAAACUCCUACGGAAGGCAGCAG